AGGAGGCCACCUGCUCUGUACAUCCUGGGUGGCAAGGGCUACCGUUGCGGACAGGGGAGCUGAGGCCAAGAGAGGUCGAAUCUAGCCCAAGUCGCGCAACCUGUUUUUUGGUUAAAGCCAGAGUUCUGAAUUAACUCUGUAUUUGUUGUUGAGAGGCCCACAGUGAGGGGUCUGGAUCCCCCAGUCACCUUCUGGAAGGGCAAGAACCAUGUCAUCAGGCCUGCUGUCUCCCCAUCGCCACGGGCUUGUCCCCCAUCAUACUGUGUGACCUACCCUGCACAGAGGAAGAGGCUUUUGAGAAGGCCUUGGAGGAUGGGAGCAUUUCAACACAUGGAGGUGGGCAGAAACCUAAAGAGUACUCACCAGUUGGAUGAUGUCCCUGAGGCCUUUAUAAAACCGAAUCCUGAAUAAAGUCAGAGCUCAACCAAAAGGAGUGAGUCCAAAAUCUAUGAGGAGAUGGACAGAAACAAAACGGUGGCUCAUGAAAGUGAAGAGCACAGGGAGCCCAGGUUUCAGAUCAGAAGGGAGAAGGAAGACAACAAUGCAAAAGGGGAAGUUUUUGAGAAGUGUUGUUUGAUGAUGCAUUUUAGGUUUCACCAUUUUUGUCAGACUGGUCUCGAACUCCUGACCUCAGGUUUGCUGUGAAGAUUGAAUGAUAUUUUGGCAUGGAAAUUAUCACACGAGAAGGCCUAAUGUGCUAUGUGUUCAAUACAUCUUAGCUGAAUUUCUGCAUGACUCUCCAUACACAAGACUGGUAUUCAGGUCCAAGCCGUGCAAGCAGACACCCUGAGAAGUCACUCCAUCAUCCUUGAUGCCCAGCAUCAAUUUUCACUGCCCCAUAUGUCUACCCUCUGUUCCUUCUCCCCACAAAAACCAACAUUCUGUUAACAUUUUUGGCUUCUUGCUGAUCCCUAGCUCUGUCUCCCUGAGCUUCAGUUUCUCCAUGGGAACAGGGAAAGGGCAACCUCUUUGAAGAGAUGUCAUAUGCAUUAUCAGCACUUAGGAAAUGGAGCUAUCUUGAUGCUCUCAGUGUUACUCUUCCUGGCACCAAUUUGUCUGACCUCAACCUAUGUGUUCCCCAGUUUGCUUGCUCUCCUUUGGAGCACCAUAGAUGAGUCUUCACAAGAACCUGUAUCUACACUCAAUCCAUUAGACGGUUUAUGGAUUUUGGCCAAAAGGACUGCACACAGUUUGACUCUCCUCUGUGCUGGGCACCUUUCCAGGACCGUCACUAUGUUAAUCUGAUAGGUGCCAUGUAGCUGGCAGAAAAGUAUUUUUAUUAAAAUCUACCUUUCACUAAA